GACAGAGGUGGCGAGCGUUGUUCGGAAUCACUGGGCUUAAAGGGCGCGUAGGUGGUAGUGCAAGUCUGGGGUGGAAUCCCAGGGCUUAACCCUGGAACUGCCUUGGAAACUGCAUUACUUGAGUCAGUGAGGGGAGGGUAGAAUUCCUGGUGUAGCGGUGAAAUGCGUAGAUAUCAGGAGGAAGGCCUGUGGCGAAGGCGGCCCUCUGGCGCUGAACUGACACUGAGGCGCGAAAGCGUGGGUAGCAAACAGG
rnacentral:rRNA from 1 species